UUAUCGGAGAGUUUGAUCCUGGCUCAGGACGAACGCUGGCGGCGUGCCUAAUACAUGCAAGUCGAGCGGACAGAUGGGAGCUUGCUCCCUGAUGUUAGCGGCGGACGGGUGAGUAACACGUGGGUAACCUGCCUGUAAGACUGGGAUAACUCCGGGAAACCGGGGCUAAUACCGG
rnacentral:rRNA from 1 species